rnacentral:rRNA from 1 species
GAUGAACGCUGGCGGCGUGCCUAAUACAUGCAAGUCGAGCGAACAGACGAGGAGCUUGCUCCUCUGACGUUAGCGGCGGACGGGUGAGUAACACGUGGAUAACCUACCUAUAAGACUGGGAUAACUUCGGGAAACCGGAGCUAAUACCGGAUAAUAUAUUGAACCGCAUGGUUCAAUAGUGAAAGACGGUUUUGCUGUCACUUAUAGAUGGAUCCGCGCCGCAUUAGCUAGUUGGUAAGGUAACGGCUUACCAAGGCAACGAUGCGUAGCCGACCUGAGAGGGUGAUCAGCCACACUGGAACUGAGACACGGUCCAGACUCCUACGGGAGGCAGCAGUAGGGAAUCUUCCGCAAUGGGCGAAAGCUUGACGGAGCAACGCCGCGUGAGUGAUGAAGGUCUUCGGAUCGUAAAACUCUGUUAUUAGGGAAGAAAAAAUGUGUAAGUAACUAUGCACGUCUUGACGGUACCUAAUCAGAAAGCAACGGCUAACUACGUG